rnacentral:rRNA from 1 species
AUUGAACGCUGGCGGCAGGCUUCACACAUGCAAGUCGAGCGAGCGGCGGACGGGUGAGUAAUGUCUGGGAAACUGCCUGAUGGAGGGGGCUAACUACUGGAACCGGUAGCUCAUACCGCAUACCAUCAGAUGUGCCCAGAGGGGAUUAGCUAGUAGGGGGGGUAAUGGCUCACCUAGGCGACGAUCCCUAUCUGGUCUGAGAGUAGUACCAGCCACAAUGGACCUGAGACACGGUCCAGACUCCUACGGGAGGCAGCAGUGGGGAAUAUGGCACAAGGGGCGCAAGCCUGAUGCAGCCAUGCGGCGUGUGCGAAGAAGGCCUUCGGGUUGUAAAGCACUUUCAGCGAGGAGGCGUUACUCGCAGAAGAAGCACCGGCUAACUCCGUGCCAGCAGCCGCGGUAAUUC